rnacentral:rRNA from 1 species
AGAUUAAAACUCAAAGGAAUUGACGGGGACCCGCACAAGCGGUGGAUGAUGUGGAUUAAUUCGAUGCAACGCGAAAAACCUUACCUACCCUUGACAUGUACGGAAUCCUGCUGAGAGGUGGGAGUGCUCGAAAGAGAACCGUAGCACAGGUGCUGCGUGGCUGUCGUCAGCUCGUGUCGUGAGAUGUUGGGUUAAGUCCCGCAACGAGCGCAACCCUUGUCCUUAGUUGCUACGCAAGAGCACUCUAAGGAGACUGCCGGUGACAAACCGGAGGAAGGUGGGGAUGACGUCAAGUCCUCAUGGCCCUUAUGGGUAGGGCUUCACACGUCAUACAAUGGUCGGUACAGAGGGCUGCCAAACCGCGAGGUGGAGCUAACCCCAGAAAACCGAUCGUAGUCCGGAUCGCAGUCUGCAACUCGACUGCGUGAAGCUGGAAUCGCUAGUAAUCGCGGAUCAGCAUGUCGCGGUGAAUACGUUCCCGGGUCUUGUACACACCGCCCGUCGCACCAUGGGAGUGGGUUUUGCCAGAAGUAGGUAGCCUAACCGCAAGGAGGGCGCUACCACGGCAUGAUUAA